AUUCUUUACCAACAGCCACCAGGGAAGCCCUCAGACACUUGGAAAACAACUCCAUCUGUUUCAAGUGGUGCUGACUCCAACCCAUGUAGGCCAAAGAAGUGACUCAGACCAAAUUUUAAGUUCCUCAUUCGCUUGGCACAUCAUCAAAGAUGGACUAAUAAGAACAAUUCCUGUACUUUUUCUUCCUUGAGUCAUUAAGGCAGAAAAGGGCCUGAACGUUCAAAAAAAAGUUAAAGAUGGUAAGGGUUAUCAUAUGCCCUGGAUUGAGUAGUUCUCCAAGUUAGAACCAACCUUAGAAUUUUCGAUUAUGAAACAAUAAACUUGGCUUAAUUGUGA